AUACGGAGGACGCGAGCGUUAUCCGGAUUCAUUGGGUUUAAAGGGUGCGCAGGCGGCCGUGCAAGUCAGCGGUGAAAGCCCGGGGCCCAACCCCGGAAGUGCCGUUGAUACUGCAUGGCUUGAAUGCGGUCGAGGCGGGCGGAACGUGGCGUGUGGCGGUGAAAUGCGUAGAUAUGCCACAGAACGCCGAUAGCGGAGGCAGCUCGCCAGGCCUGCAUGGACGCUCGGGCACGAAAGCGUGGGGAUCGAACAGGAUUAGAUACCCUGGUAGUCCACGCCGUAAACGAUGGGCGCUCGUCGUCGGCGGCAGACAGUCGGCGGCCAAGCGAAAGCGAUAAGCGCCCCACCUGGGGAGUACGGUCGCAAGGCUGAAACUCAAAUGAAUUGACGGGG
rnacentral:rRNA from 1 species